rnacentral:rRNA from 1 species
GAUGAACGCUGGCGGCGUGCCUAAUACAUGCAAGUCGAGCGAACGGACGAGAAGCUUGCUUCUCUGAUGUUAGCGGCGGACGGGUGAGUAACACGUGGAGAACCUACCUAUAAGACUGGGACAACUUCGGGAAACCGGAGCUAAUACCGGAUGAUAUUUUGAAACGUAUGGUUCAAAAGUGAAAGACGGUAUUGCAGUAACUUAUAAAUAGAUCGCGUCUUCUUUAGCUAGUUGGGAGGGUAACGGCUUACAAAGGGAACGAUGCAUGGCCGACCGGAGAGGUGGUUCGCCCCAACUGGACCGGAGACACGGCCCAGCCUCCUCCGGGAGGCAGCAGAAGGGAAUCUUCGGAAUUGGGCGAAAUCCUGCCGGACCACCGCGCCGUGGGUGAUGAAGGUCUCCGGAUCGUAAACUCUGUUGAUUAGGGAAGACCAUAUGUGGAAGUAAAUGUGCACAUCGUGACGGUACCUACUCAGAAAGCCACGGCUAACUACGUG